GUUCUAUGCAGUGUCUUUGAAUGUGGGCAGGUGGAGGUGGGGGACACCCUGCAUCCACUCUGUCUUCUGGCUGCUUGGACUGCAGGCAUGAUAUCUGGGGUCCAGCAGCCACCUUGGACUACGAGGUGAUGUGGCAAAAGAGAAGUAAAUUUCUGUCCGAGAGAGAUGGACGGAGGACGGCGGGGAGCGGAAGCUAUGACUGGCCGAGCGAGACCGCCCUGCCAAAUGUCUUGUUCUGAGAAGGGAACAGGUUUCACAUGGACAAGAUGGAAGGACUGCUUGUUCCUCUGGAAAGUUCUAUUAAAGUGACCAGCCCAGACACA